rnacentral:lncRNA from 1 species
GAUCCAAAAAGUAGAACUGAUUUAAUGGCAAAUUAACAGAUGGCAGAAGGCAAACACACAGUGUAGGGUCAACCACAAAAGGCAAAAAAAGGGUGGGUACAACAGUAUACAUAUGGAAGAUCUGAGGGUAGAUCUGAAGGCAGGGUUGCAAUCACAGACUGAGAUUAGGAAUAUUAAAAGUAAUGCAGCAAACAACAACCAAUCAGGGGAGAGAACUAAGAACAUUUUGGAAGCAUAACCUUAUAUGAACAGGCUUGCUAUCAUCCCAUGAUCUUAAGUUGAUGCCCAACCAGUUCUAUCUCCACAGGGAAUUAUUAAAAUGCCUUAGAGGAUCCCAUAUAUUUUCUAAUCUCUUUAGAAACAUGAAAGAAAUACUCUUGCCCAUGCUCAGGCGGUGGACAGAGGUUGAAUGUGUGUUGGUUAAAUGAACCCAGAUGAUACUAGUGAUGCAAAUUUGGAGUCUCCUUGGAAUAACAAAGCAUUCCCAACAAAAAACUUCAAAGCGACAGUCACUGCAAAAGGAUGCUGAUCUUUGUGGUAUUUUCUACACUGUAAAGACGUAUAAUGGAAACAAGACUCCCAGCUUUCUGCUCAACCAAAGAAUUUUGUGCUCCAAAGAAUUUCAGUAUUGUGUCAUUUUGUUCUAGAUUCCCAUUCCGGUGAGGUGCUGUAUAAAAGGCUAAGAGAAAAUUAUACUAAGGUAAAUAUGUUCAAUAGAAACACACAUUAAUAAUACUUGUGACCUCCAGGUAAGAUGAUACAUUUAUUUACCAUAACUUUCAGUAAUUAUAAAAAUCACCUUCAGCUUUUACAAAAUCAGUAGUUGAAUGUGUUGUUUAGACUCAGUGUGUCUCAUUAUGCCAUUUUUAAUGAAUUGGUUGGAUAACAUUUUGCUUCAUAAAAUUAUCUUACUGUAACCAUUUCCCCUAAUUUGCAGUGGCUUCUGGAUAACUUGUAAAUUGAGCUUCCAUAAGGAGAAGUAUGGGUGGUGUCUGGAAAUCAUGGUUCUUGCUUUAGUUCAUAAAUUUCAGCACGAGACUUAUAGGAGUAAAAGAUCUAGGCCUUUUAACCUGACAUUCUAAAGUCAGUGCUUCUUAGCUGCAGAAUUACUUCUCUUCAGGCUUUUAAAAUACAGUCUCUUACAGUGCUGAAAAUUAAACUAAAUUUCUUUUAAAAACCCGCACUUUUAAUUAACUUCUCUUUGUUCCUACGCUGUUAGACUUGGUUGUGGA